rnacentral:lncRNA from 1 species
AAAAGGUUUCCCUUUGGUAUUUUCGAACUGAAUUUUUGAAUUUCUAUCAAAUAAACUUUGUCCAAAAAGAUAGAUCAUCAAUCGAUCAUUUGACAAAUCAAAAUCCAAAACCGAAGUCGAAGCCGAGGCGAGCGAGCGAUGAUGAAUAAACUUUGUCCAAAAAGAUAGAUCUCAUCGAUCAUUUGACAAAUUCGAAGCCGAAGCCAAAGCCGAAGCCGAGCGACGACGGCGCGAGGCAUCUCUUAUUUCUUGCCUCACUUACCAUGUGAAGUAAGUGUUCCUUAUUUUAAACACUCAUUAGUUCUCUUCUUCCAUCAAUGUGGGAGAAAGAGUGAACUUUCCAAUUUGGGAGUACACUUUCUAAAUUAGUGUCUCGCUUCUCUCCACUAUUUUUCCUCCAUUUUUCAUUCACACUUUUUCAUAUACUUUGAACCCAACACCAGGUAUGUAUAUGAUAAGGAAUAGAGGGAAGUAAGACCAUACUGGAGCAAUUGGCAGAUCUUCAUUAGGUUUAAAGUCAGGUGUCCAUUUCUGUAACCACAUCUGCAUUCCUUCAAUUUUUUUGACUCUACUUGAACCAGACAGUAUUGAAAUCAUCUUCAUUGGUGAAAUCUAGAAACACAUUGUAAUUAUCGAACACUCCAAUUUUUGUUGAUCCUUUCACGGGGUAGAGCUCCUUGAAUCUGAAUCUAAUUUUCUCAAUUUGGGGUCUUGGCUUUAGGAAUUUUUCGACAAUAGUGAGCCUACAUUCAUCGUCCAUAACUCUGCAGUAAUCCUUUGCCUUGAAGAUUACGGCCGGCAUCCCGUUGUGGGUGGAUUGCCUUGCCAAGACUGAUUCUCUGAGUUGUCGAGUUCCAUUGAUUUGGGCUUUUGAUGAAGUAGCAACUGUUUUAACAUAUGAGGGUAAAUUUGGAUUAUUGGGAGUUGUGGAAUUGAUAGGGGGGAAAUGUUCCUGGUCGUGAAUGG